AGCGAACGCUGGCGGCAGGCCUAACACAUGCAAGUCGAACGAACUCUUCGGAGUUAGUGGCGGACGGGUGAGUAACACGUGGGAACGCGCCUUUAGGUUCGGAAUAACUCAGGGAAACUUGUGCUAAUACCGAAUGUGCCCUUCGGGGGAAAGAUUUAUCGCCUUUAGAGCGGCCCGCGUCUGAUUAGCUUGUUGGUGGGGUAAUGGCCCACCAAGGCGACGAUCAGUAGCUGGUAUGAGAGGAUGACCAGACAAAUUGGGACUGAGAGACGGCCCAAACUCCUACGGGAGGCAGCAGUGGGGAAUCUUGCGCAAUGGGCGAAAGCCUGACGCAGCCAUGCCGCGUGGAUGAUGAAGGUCUUAGGAUUGUAAAAUCCUUUCACCGGUGAAGAUAAUGACUGUAGCCGGAGAAGAAGCCCCGGCUAACUUCGUGCCAGCCGCCGCAGUAAAAC
rnacentral:rRNA from 1 species